CAUCGUCAAAAUCAAGAUGUUGGGGAUUCUACAAAUAUAACGAUUUGGGAUCUAUUAUCAAAUUUCAACUAAUGGAAGAAUAGAGAAUGAAGAUAUAAAUAAUCUCACUUUGAUAAUCAAACAUUACCUUGUAACCCGUCAACGAGAAAUUACUAAUAGUUGACAAACUAUUCAAAAAUAUUAAAGCAGAAUUCUUCGGCUGAGUGAAAAUAUUAAUUUCAGUAAUAAGGUGUAAUAGAAGCGCAAGGCGAAUUGAGUAUCUAAUGUGGAGCCAUUAAAAAACAGUUACUUAAUUUUUGCGAUUUUGAUAAGUCUGACGUCAGCUCCCUUCGCAAUACAAAAGAAACGAAGAAAAAAUUAAUAUGAAGCUUCCAAAUACAGUUUGUUUGCGUUUUUAUGCGGAAGACGCCGUGGCAAGAAAGUCUGUGUGUAUGUAUAAUUUCUUGUGUUUGGUUGUUUUCAUUGCUUUCGUUACUCUUCUUCUUCAUAAACAAAUAAUUUUCCUUCCUUUUGCUUGUUUAUUCAUGGGCUCUUACAAUCCGGCGAAUUCGGAACGCGCAAUCGUAUCAUUCUUGAUAGAAGCGCUUGUUAAAGGAAGUUUGGUCAACGGUACAAAAUCCGAAGGAGUGGAAGGAGGGCGUCAUAGUUACGAUAUUUAAGGAAGGUGACAUCAGCUUUUGCAAGAACUGGAAAGGCAUUAUGCUGCUGAAUACCAUUCAGAAACUUCUGGCUUUCAUUAUCUUCCACCGUAUUUUCCCUAUCCCUAACGCGAUGCUUAAAUAUGAACAAAAUAGCUUCAGACCCUAUAGAUCUUGUGUUAACCACGUUCAGGUUCAUCAUCGAGCAGAAUAGCAUUGCCGCUUAUUUCUGUGCUCUCGACACCAUCAAUAGAAAUGCUAUCUUGGAAGCACUGAAAAUCAGUGGCGUACUAGACAAAAUAAGGGCUAUUAUCAAAGGACAGCAUUUUGAGGCAGAAUUCAGGUGUCGUUUCAUAGAAAGUAACAGCGAGAAGUUUGAAAUAGCAAAUAGGGUGCGCUAAAGCUGCGUUUUACCCUAUCUGCUGUUUAUCCUAGUGCUGGAUGGAGUUUUGAGAAAAACUGACCGCGAAGCUCCGGAUUGUAUUCAGUGGAAUCCGAUUCAAAAGCUGAGUAACCUGGACUACACGAAUGUUGAAAGCAAACAUGUCCAAAACUAAACUCAUGCACAUGGACACAACAGGGACAGAACCUCUAACCUCCCGUUUGGGUGCCGACACUGUAGUAAUUGAUGACGUUGAACGGUUCACUUAUCUGGACCGUGUUAUAGCGCAGAUGCUGACGCUCACGCAUUAGCAAAGCUAGAGUAGCCUUCUUCAAGCUAAUGAUCCUCAACACAAGCAUCAAAUCAGUCCUUCUGUACGGCUCAGAGAUAUAGUGUCCCUGACGCGAUCUGCAAUAAAUUUCUCGUUUUUCAUGCCUACGCAUAAUCUGCCGAGUUUUCUGACCAAACACCAUAUCAAAUGAUGACCUCUAUGCGUUCACCAAUAGUAUGCCCAUUAACUCAGAAAUCAAAAGGAGAAAUUCGAGCUGGAUUGGCCAUACGCCUCGAAAAGAUAACAUCGAUAUUACAAAAAUGGCGUUCUAGUGGAGUUCACAAAGAGAAAGAGCGCAUGGUCGACCAAAGAUGUCGCGGGUGCGAACGAUACGUACUGUGAAGAACGGAACAUUUUUAAAUUUAAAUACACUCGAAAUCUGCCAUUGCCUGCCAAGGGCCGACCGCUAUUAGAAAAUUUGUUUUCUAUUGUUUUGCUGUUUCACGUACGGAUAUUCGAACCUACACACUCUCCGCCGCUUUACAUUACAACUUAUCCGGUUUUAUAUCAAUAGCUAUACUAAAUAUAAUUACUGUUGAAGUCACUGUAACAAACAUCGCUUUAUUGUGAUGGCACAACCUAAUGUAAGUUUCCUUACGCUUAUAUGUAUAUUAAUAUAAUAUAAAUUCAAGUGAUAUGUACACAUAUGUAUGUGUGUGUUUGUUGCAGUGACAUGCAAAAUGAACAAGACUAAUUGCUUUGGUUAGAACGAGAUAGCUUGUAUUAAUACAUAGUAGGCUUUGAUUUUAUUACAUAAAUACCUAAUUCCUAAGACUCUUUAUGUAUACAUAUAUAUGAAUUAUAGCGGGACUUAUGUUCCUUUCC